rnacentral:snRNA from 1 species
GUGCUGGCUUUUGUAGCACAUAUACUAAAAUUGGGAUGAUACAGAGAAGAUUAGCAUGGCCUCUCUGCAAGAAUGACAUGCAAAUUCAUGAAGCAUUCCAUGUUUUU